rnacentral:lncRNA from 1 species
CAUUGUAACUGAGCCGACUCAUCUGGACUGAGUCGAUCUAUCUAGAAACUAGAUCGACUCAAUUACUGUGCCAUGUCAGAGAAACUGAUACACUGCUCUCUGUCUAGCUAUUCUCGCAGACUUAGUCGACCCACUUUCGCUUCGUCGACCCAGUCUAAGAUCUACAAAUUUUUUAUAUUCAAUUUUUUCUAAUUCUUAUGCUUUUUGCCGAUUGUAGUUUUACCAUAACAACUUAUUU